rnacentral:rRNA from 1 species
GACGAACGCUGGCGGCGUGCUUAACACAUGCAAGUCGAACGGAAAGGCCCUGCUUUUGUGGGGUGCUCGAGUGGCGAACGGGUGAGUAACACGUGAGUAACCUGCCCUUGACUUUGGGAUAACUUCAGGAAACUGGGGCUAAUACCGGAUAGGAGCUCCUGCUGCAUGGUGGGGGUUGGAAAGUUUCGGCGGUUGGGGAUGGACUCGCGGCUUAUCAGCUUGUUGGUGGGGUAGUGGCUUACCAAGGCUUUGACGGAUAGCCGGCCUGAGAGGGUGACCGGCCACAUUGGGACUGAGAUACGGCCCAGACUCCUACGGGAGGCAGCAGUGGGGAAUAUUGCACAAUGGGCGGAAGCCUGAUGCAGCAACGCCGCGUGCGGGAUGACGGCCUUCGGGUUGUAAACCGCUUUCGCCUGUGACGAAGCGUGAGUAACGGUAAUGGGUAAAGAAGCACCGGCUAACUACGUG